rnacentral:rRNA from 1 species
GAUGAACGCUGGCGGCGUGCCUAAUACAUGCAAGUAGAACGCUGAAGGAAGGCGCUUGCUCUUUCCGGAUGAGUUGCGCACGGGUGAGUAACGCGUAGGUAACCUGCCUGGUAGCGGGGGAUAACUAUUGGAAACGAUAGCUAAUACCGCAUAACAGUAGAUGUUGCAUGAUAUCUACUUAAAAGUUGCAAUUGCACCACUACCACAUGGACCUGCGUUGUAUUAGCUAGUUGGUGAGGUAACGGCUCACCAAGGCGACGAUACAUAGCCGACCUGAGAGGGUGAUCGGCCGCACUGGGAGUGGGACACGGCCCAGACGCCUACGGGAGGCAGCAGUAGGGAAUCUUGGGGAAUGGACGGAAGACUGAGCGAGAAACGCCGAGGGAGUGAGGAAGGAUGUCGGAUCGUAAAGCUCUGUUGUAAGGGAAGAAAGCGUGUGAGAGUGGGAAGUACCCAGUGUGACGGUAUCUUACCAGAAAGGGACGGCUAACUACGUG